GAUGAAGAACGUAGCGAGAUGCGAUAAGUAAUGUGAAUUGCAGAAUUCAGUGAAUCAUCGAAUCUUUGAACGCACAUUGCGCCCAUUAGCAUUCUAGUGGGCAUGCCUGUUCGAGCGUCAUUUCAACCCUUAAGCCCUGUUGCUUAGCGUUGGGAGCCUACAGUACUGUAGCUCCCCAAAGUUAGUGGCGGAGUCGGUUUCACACUCUAGACGUAGUAAUUUUUUCUCGUCUGUAGUUGAGCCGGUCCCCUGCCGUAAAACACCCAAUUUAUCAAGGUUGACCUCGGAUCAGGUAGGAAUACCCGCUGAACUUAAGCAUAUCAAUAAGCGGAGGA
rnacentral:misc_RNA from 1 species